rnacentral:rRNA from 1 species
UUAUGUACAUACCUCCAACAUAGUUUUAAUGCAAUGGAUCCCAUUAGAACUCCGUAGUUAAGCGCACUCAGGCAAGAGUAGUACUGGGAUGAGUGACCGCUCGGGAAGUCCUAGUAUUUUACAUGCC